AUAAUAGAGAGUUUGAUCCUGGCUCAGGACGAACGCUGGCGGCGUGCCUAACACAUGCAAGUCGAACGUGAUCUUCAGAGUAGUUUACUACACUGAAGUGAAAGUGGCGGACGGGUGAGUAACG
rnacentral:ncRNA from 1 species